AGGAACAAAAAGCAACUGCGGUUGCUGGAGUAAUGGCGAAUGAAUGGGCAGGUGCUGGUUCUCCCAGCCCGAAGGUGCUUGUCUCAGUGCGCCCUGCCAGGUGCACAACCGACUGUUGUGAUCCAUCCCUUUGCUGUGGGCUGUGAGGUUCACGGUCCGGCUCGGUCCUGGUGCUGCCCCAAGAAUGUGGUCCUUGGAACGGGCCACCACAGAGAGAGACUGUCUCGUAUGUCCCGCCUGUGGGUGGCGCCAGGCCGAGCGGUGGCCGUGGGCACUCCGGAGUAGAGUUGCUUGAGACUGCAGUUUGAAGUGCAAUGUGUAUCCAUUGUAAGGAAGGGUAUCUGCCAGGGGAACCGAUAGCGCACAAGUACCUUGAAGGAAGGAUGCAAAGGACUCUGCAAAGAGGGCUCGAUCAGUCCCUGAAGCCUCAGCAGGACCGGUGGCGAGUGGUGCUGUGGACCAUACCACAGAGUGGGAAUCAAUCAAAUCCUCCCACCAUAUCCCAUGGGAAAGAGAGGGCACCGUGCGUGUCCCACGUGUGAGAUGGAGCCAAAGCAGGUUUGAGUCAGCCCCGGACUGGCCACAGAGCCCCGCCCCUCACCGGGCGGGAGGACCAUUGGGGGGCGUUCCCUCGUGGGCGUCCCCCUCUCGUGGCAGCCCCUGGGUGGGACCAUGCCUUUCUGGACUUGAGACCGUAUGCCAUGAACGUUUCUUCAGAGCACAGCUCAGAGAGCAACAACACCGGAGCCUUGAUCACUCAGCAACACAGCAAAAAGGGGUGUGGUGGCCACCCCUGGAAGGAUGCAGGUGAAGUCUUCUUUGCAAAAGGGGGAGUGAGGCUGGGGUCCGCCUGGUGCCAUGGCUGCACCAUCCUGCUGGUGGCCUCCCAGGUGGAUGUGUCCGCACAAUCCCACCCCAGCCUCCCUGACCAGGGUUGGAGCAGAUGCCAGGGACCGAGCGGUCCCGCUGCGACUUGGCCCCGCCGGGCCUCAACCACCCGGCGGACCAACCAGCGGGUCACUCGCUGCCCGUCUUGAAACACGGACCAAGGAGUCUAUGGAGCUUGCGCAUUGGAAGGUGUCUCAUACCAUCGGAUUGUUGGCAAAACCACAGGAUGUGGUGAAGGCAAAGUGGUCGUACCAGGCCCCCAUGGGUCAGCAGACAGGUGCAGAGUGUCCCCUGCUGGGGCCACCGGAUUCAGAUCCCUUCAGGACAGAGUUUUGAGUGCAUGUGAGGUCCAUGGGACCCGAAAGGUGGUGAACUAUACCAUUCCAUGAUGAAGCCAUGGGAAACUGUGGUGGAAGUCAGCAGCUGUUCUGACGUGCAAAUUGUGUAGCCCGAGUGUGGCAUAGGGGUGAAAGGCCAAUCGAACCACCUAGUAGC
rnacentral:rRNA from 1 species